rnacentral:lncRNA from 1 species
UUUUUUUUUACAAAUUAUUACAUCCACUACAAAUUUUCACUUUCCAAUAAAAUUUUCAAUUAAUUAGAACAUAAAUUUACAUUUUCUCCUAUCCUAUCUGUGUACAUAGAAUGUAUUUGAACUGAUUAUAUCCAAUUUAACUUAUAUUUAAUGAAUUUUAUUUAUUUGCUUGAAUAGAGGUCAUGUAUUUUUCCUUUUGAUCACUUGAAUUGAUUGUUUAUAUUAAAUUUACUGAAUUUUUUAAACAUAAAUAUGUAUUUUCUUAGGAUGAGCAAAAUAUUAAUAAAAUAACUGUUUGAAAUCAAAUAGAUAAAAACAACGAGCAACAUAAUAAUGAAAAAAAUAUUUUUUAAAGGUAAAUUUGCAUUUUUUCAGGUCAAGUAUUAAAUCAUUUAAAAGUCAAGAACGAAAUAUUUGAUUGUGCAAGUUUAAUUGUGCCCCUAAUAAAAAAUUUCUACGCCCCUAAUCCUAACGAGAAAACUAAUGCAUUUCAUGGCUGUUCGGCUGUUCCAAUUCUGCCAAUUGCGAUAUGAGUGCAUGGCGAUUCAAAAGCAAUCACAAUCCUUCAUAACUUGCAAAAAGAGUGGAAAGAUCUACUCAAAGACCUUCAGUCCCACAAGUAUUCUUCGACUUGCCUAGAAAUUUAGCCUGCUUGAUGAGGAUUAAAUUUUUAUGAAAUGAAAUAUGCUGUUGAAAAAAUAUAAGUUCCAUAAAUAUGUAAUUAUAAUUAAUUAUUUACUUUAAAUUAAAUUAAAAUCUAUAUUUUAAGGGCUUACUAACAAACUAGAAUCAACCAUGAAUCACUUUUCCAUUUGCAGAAAGCAUAUCGUGUCUAGACAAAAAUUUAAAAAUGACACCUUUAUUUUAGUGUCUUCUUCUACUUUGUUGCAUUUCAAGAAUAGACUGUAUGCAACCCACUAGGCCCUUUUCCUAUAUAAAAUCUCGUGAAGAAAUUAAAAAUUUAUAUAUUUUGCACCUUCUAUCAAACAAAGAAACCACAGGGAAUUUAGUUGUGGUCCGGCAAUAUAUUUACUUUCAAGUCUGUGACUUGGGAAUCUUGUGAUUUUAUUUGAAACUCCAUAGAUAUAUAAAUCUUUAACCGUAAACUAUCACAAGAAUCAGAUUGGCGUCCUAUUAAGAGCAUUUACCAUGAAACUACUACAAAGUACAACAAAAUGAAAAACUAAUUCAAGACGAAAUAAGAGAGACACACAAGACUGAACUUUAUUUAUUAAUGGGAAAUCACAUCAACGUUUAAACUUUAAAGACAGACACAAACAGGACUUAUACAAAGAAAAUUUGCAUACUAGAAACCACGACUCAACAGAGACGAUGGUUAAAAACCAAAGGACACACAGACUUCAUUAGAAAGACAAUCAUAGGUAAAAUACCCACAGAACUACAGUAGAAGAACAUUUAGAGGCCACCACGGAGACGGAGGACAAGGUGAAGGGUAGACUCCUUCUGGAUGUUGUAGUCGGCAAGAGUCCUUCCAUCCUCCAGCUGCUUUCCAGCAAAGAUCAACCUUUGCUGGUCCGGAGGGAUACCCUCCUUAUCCUGAAUCUUGGCUUUGACGUUGUCGAUUGUAUCUGAACUUUCCACCUCCAAAGUGAUGGUUUUUCCAGUAAGAGUCUUCACAAAUAUCUGCAUGCCUCCCCUCAACCUCAAGACCAAGUGUAGAGUUGACUCCUUCUGAAUAUUAUAGUCUGCCAAUGUUCGGCCGUCCUCAAGCUGCUUACCAGCGAAGAUCAGCCUCUGCUGGUCCGGCGGGAUACCCUCCUUGUCCUGGAUUUUAGCUUUAACGUUAUCAAUAGUGUCGGAGCUCUCAACUUCAAGG